CCUUAUUGUCCGCAAAUCCCAUGAAAAGACCAACAAAAACAAUCAAUCCUACUAACAGGUAUUAGUAGCUAAAGCCUGAUAUAGUUUAUUCCUCUGUGUCAUAGAGCGCCAUUGUUGUCCAACAACACAUAUUGUAUACUUGUGCAAACUUUGCAUAAAUGCUAGGACCAGGAAGGAAAACAUUAUUGAUUGCUAAUGUCUUGAAGAUGUUUACCAAGUUCACCAUCUCAGUCACAACCUUUAAAGGGCAUAUGGUCUUAUUUUUGAGAAACACAAGAGGGAUAGGUUAGAAUGGCAUUUGG